UCGAGCCACGACGGGAGUGCUAGUAGGCUGUGGCAGGGCUGUUGUCCACACCUCUCCCCCAACCUCUCUGGAAAUCAUGUGUGGCCCCUUUACUCCAUAUGUGAGUCUAGUCGGCAGGCUAUCGUCAGCCUGCAUCAUCAACCAUCAUGUCAGAACAUGUCAGCAACAUAUCAUCAAAUCAAUAAAUAUCAUGGUGAAUAAAUCAACUCAAUUAUCACACUCCCUGACUCAAUCCGGAGUCCAAGGGUUCCGUCGAUGCCUCUGCAUCCUCCAGGUCAAAAACCCUACACACUCAAAUAAACUAAGUUAAUAGCACCUGUAUACCACGAUAGUAAAACAUCAUGUCAUCUAUCAUAACGCCUCAUCAUCAAAGAUAAAUGUAUUAAUAUCAUAAAGGUCCAGAUCACUUGCGAGCAAGUGUCCUCAAAUAAUAAGUUUUGUAAGUGCGCCAGAGUGGGAUGUUACAUGGAUGCUGCCGCAAUGUGAUUUAUGCCCAGUGCUUUGAAUGUUAAAGUGAAUAAAUUCAACCAAGCAUGGGUAAAUGAGAGUAGUAACUAUGACUCUCUUAAGGUAGUCAAAUGUGUCGCCAUCUAAUUAGUGAUGAACAUGAAUGGAUUAACUAGAUUCCCACUAUCCCUAUCUACUAUUUAGUGAAACCACAACCAAGGGAAUGGGCUUGGAAUAAUCAACAUGGAAAUAAGACAUUGUUGAUAUUGACUCUAGUCCAAAUUUGUGAAAUGAAUUGAGAGUUGUAGAAUAAGUGGGAAUCAUUUUGGGCACAAAUUAAAUACCACUACUUGUAACAUUAUUUUACUUAUAAUUUUGUGGGGCGAAGAUGGGGCAGUUACCCUAUUUUUGGCCUUAAGUCACGUUUUGAUGGGUUGAUCUGGGCUGAAGACAUUUCCAAGUGGGUAUCUUGGAUGGGGAAAAACAUCUAUUAAAAUAUAACACAAAAUAUAAUUGGUGUAUAUAGAACAUUUGUAUUUGGGACAUCCUAGUGCACAACCACCCUUAU
rnacentral:ncRNA from 1 species